rnacentral:misc_RNA from 1 species
AAGGUGGUCGUACUGGAAAGUGUGGCUAGAUCAUAUCCUUUCUAAGAGGAAGAUAAAUCAAAACUAAUUUUAUUUACUUUUCUCUAUAUUUUUAUUUUGAUGAAAAAGCUUUUGAAUUCAAAGUAAAUUUUUAGUUUAACCUUUAGAAAAAAUAAAUCUUUAGAAAGUGUUUAGUAUUAUACAGUUUCAUAUUAAAUUAAACGUUGUUAAUAGUAAACAUAAUUUUAGAUUUUGAGUUGAAAGUUUUUUAUAUUGCUAAAUAUGUAUUUUAAAUCUAAUAGAACGGCAAUU